GACGAACGCUGGCGGCGUGCCUAAUACAUGCAAGUCGAACGCUUCUUUCCUCCCGAGUGCUUGCACUCAAUUGGAAAGAGGAGUGGCGGACGGGUGAGUAACACGUGGGUAACCUACCCAUCAGAGGGGGAUAACACUUGGAAACAGGUGCUAAUACCGCAUAACAGUUUAUGCCGCAUGGCAUAAGAGUGAAAGGCGCUUUCGGGUGUCGCUAUGGAUGGACCCGCGGUGCAUUAGCUAGUUGGUGAGGUAACGGCUCACCAAGGCCACGAUGCAUAGCCGACCUGAGAGGGUGAUCGGCCACACUGGGACUGAGACACGGCCCAGACUCCUACGGGAGGCAGCAGUAGGGAAUCUUCGGCAAUGGACGAAAGUCUGACCGAGCAACGCCGCGUGAGUGAAGAAGGUUUUCGGAUCGUAAAACUCUGUUGUUAGAGAAGAACAAGGACGUUAGUAACUGAACGUCCCCUGACGGUAUCUAACCAGAAAGACACGGCUAACUACGUG
rnacentral:rRNA from 1 species